AGUAGUAUGGUGUAGCGAAGCACACGGGGCUUCACUGUGUCGUUACCCACAAAGUUUCACCCCGAGGCCUUUGUUUGAACCAAGGUGCUGCUC